rnacentral:rRNA from 1 species
UGGCUCAGAUUGAACGCUGGCGGCAUGCCUUACACAUGCAAGUCGAACGGCAGCACGGAGCUUGCUCUGGUGGCGAGUGGCGAACGGGUGAGUAAUAUAUCGGAACGUACCCUAGAGUGGGGGAUAACGUAGCGAAAGUUACGCUAAUACCGCAUACGAUCUAAGGAUGAAAGUGGGGGAUCGCAAGACCUCAUGCUCGUGGAGCGGCCGAUAUCUGAUUAGCUAGUUGGUAGGGUAAAAGCCUACCAAGGCAUCGAUCAGUAGCUGGUCUGAGAGGACGACCAGCCACACUGGAACUGAGACACGGUCCAGACUCCUACGGGAGGCAGCAGUGGGGAAUUUUGGACAAUGGGCGAAAGCCUGAUCCAGCAAUGCCGCGUGAGUGAAGAAGGCCUUCGGGUUGUAAAGCUCUUUUGUCAGGGAAGAAACGGUGAAAGCUAAUAUCUUUUGCUAAUGACGGUACCUGAAGAAUAAGCACCGGCUAACUACGUGCCAGCAGCCGCGGUAAUACGUAGGGUGCAAGCGUUAAUCGGAAUUACUGGGCGUAAAGCGUGCGCAGGCGGUCUUGUAAGUCUGAUGUGAAAUCCCCGGGCUCAACCUGGGAAUUGCAUUGGAGACUGCAAGGCUAGAAUCUGGCAGAGGGGGGUAGAAUUCCACGUGUAGCAGUGAAACGCGUAGAUAUGUGGAGGAACACCGAUGGCGAAGGCAGCCCCCUGGGUCAAGAUUGACGCUCAUGCACGAAAGCGUGGGGAGCAAACAGGAUUAGAUACCCUGGUAGUCCACGCCCUAAACGAUGUCUACUAGUUGUCGGGUCUUAAUUGACUUGGUAACGCAGCUAACGCGUGAAGUAGACCGCCUGGGGAGUACGGUCGCAAGAUUAAAA